rnacentral:misc_RNA from 1 species
GGCUAGAGCGGACAAUCAAAAGACUGGAUAAAAAGAAAAAGCAGCGCGAAAAUAAGCGGCAGUGAGACACAGUGAAAAAAACAGAUUUAGCGAGUUAACCAAUAUUAGAUCAAGUGUAAAAAAGAUGGAAAAAUAGAAAAUUAUGGACAAUAAGGAUAUAAAAAUAGUGAAAAUAAGAAAGAAAGAAGUGAAAUUGAAUCCACUAGAAAAUGGUUUGAAAGGAAAUACUUGAGAAAGAAACUGGACACAUUUGAUUAGAUACAGAUUUGUAAAUAAUUUGCAGUAUUUGGAAGUAUAAAUUAAGGAGAGCAUAUAAAACCAGACAAUAAAAUAGACAAAAAUUAUUGACAAUUAUCCAAUAUGUGGAGACAUAAUAUUCAAAUGAAUACUUUUUUGUCAAAGAAGCAGCAAUUGAAUGCAGAAUUAUUUUGUUAAGCAAUCUAAAGAGACACACUUAGAUGCACUCUAACUCCACAAACUGGUUGAUAUUUGGUUGAAUUCUAUAAGUGAUAAUGAAGUGAAUAUUAAUAGUUGUGGCAUGCAUAUUUUAAUGGUUGUUAAUUUUUUUAUGCUUCUUUCAUUAUAAAUGAUUUUAUGAUUUUGUUUUGGUUUGUAACGGAAGUUUACAUCCAACAUCAGUAUUAAAUGUUCUCUUGCAAUUC